rnacentral:rRNA from 1 species
UACAGAGGGUGCAAACGUUGUUCGGAUUACUGGGCGUAAAGCGUGCGCAGGCGGCUUGCAAGACAGAUGUGAAAUCCCCGGGCUUAACCUGGGAACUGCAUUUGUGACUGCAUGGCUGGAGUGCGGCAGGAGGGGAUGGAAUUCCGGCGUGUAGCAGUGAAUGCGUAGAUAUGCGGAGAAACACCGAUGGCGAAGGCAAUCCCCUGGGCCUGCACUGACGCUCAUGCACGAAAGCGUGG